rnacentral:misc_RNA from 1 species
GAUGAGAACGCAGCGAAAUGCGAUAAGUAAUGUGAAUUGCAGAAUUCAGUGAAUCAUCGAAUCUUUGAACGCACAUUGCGCCCGCUGGUAUUCCGGCGGGCAUGCCUGUUCGAGCGUCAUUUCAACCCUCAAGCUCUCCGGAGUUUGGUGUUGGGGCGCCUGGGGCUUUUCGACCUCAGGGCCCUCAAGUCCAUCGGCGGGACCGCCAGGACACUGAGCGCAGUAGUAUUAUUUCGCUCGGUAGGAUCUUCCACGGCGGGUCGAUCUGGCCGCUAAACCCCCCAAUUCUCACCAAAGGUUGACCUCGGAUCAGGUAGGAAUACCCGCUGAACUUAAGCAUAUCAAUAAGCGGAGGA